GGGUCAGUAGGUUGGUCGUGCCACCGGUACGUACUGGUCUCACUGAUUCCUCCUUCCUGAAGAACCGUAAUGCCAUUAAUUUGGUGUUGCGGGGAAACAGGACUGUUACUUUGAAAAAAUUAUAGUGUUUAAAGCAAGCUAACGCUUGAAUACAUUGGCAUGGAAUAAUGAAAUAGGACGAUCGAUCCUAUUUUGUUGGUUUCUAGGAUUGACGUA
rnacentral:rRNA from 1 species